CUGGGUCAGAAGAGCAGCAGCUCGAGCUGGGCAGGCAGCCUAACCCUUCCCUCCCUGCUCCCCUAGGACAUAGCAUCGGCAGCCACAAGUAUGACAUACGCGUUGCAUGGAAAUCCAGGCUACUAAGGACCUGGUCCACUAUUGAACUCUUGGUUUCCAGAUGACUUCUUCUAAAAUUCAGCAGAAGAGAAAGUAAUAUGCAGUUGCAUUCAGUAGUCUCAUAUACAGUACAUCUUUUGUUAUCCAAACCCCCUGGAAAGGGCCUGCUGAAGAGCAGUCUGGAUAGCUGAAACCCUUGGGGGUGAACUGUUGACAAGUACCUCAGAAAUGCUACACCUGAUGACAAACCAUUUUGAGCUUCCUGCUUUCCUGUUGUGUGCUGUUUCCCAGAAGUGUAACAAGACGGCUCCAUGCCCUGAGCAGUGGUGGCACGGCCAGCUACCGCUAUUUUUUCAUCCCCCUCAAAGAUGAACCAGGACUAAUACCUCAGUCAUCCCCCUCAUUUAUGCUGCUGCUGUUUCCCCCCAUUUUGAAAUGCUUCUUUUGUAGUUUGUUCUAUGGGGAUGAUGGGUACUAUAUGCUUAACUAUUUUAAUGAUCUGCAUUUGUUGACUAAGAAAAAAGAGAAAUUCCCAAACUAAGUUACCCAGCAGGCUCCAGCUCCAAUAAAAUGAGAUCUUGUUCUCUUUCAGAUGUGAGAACAAGUUGUAGCCGGUUCCAGUCAACAAUAAUUGAACACAGGGGCAGGGCUUAUUUGAAGUUUAAUCCAUGAGAAUCAUAGUUACAGUGUUGGUUCCAGUAUGCUGGUAUUGUAUUUGUCCUCAAAGUGACCCUGCAGGGUUCAUAUCCCAUGUCUCACUCUCAAUGCAGGCAGCUCCCUGAGGAUGGACACUCCCUAAUCUACCUUCAGGAGCCUAGAAAGAUUCAAUAAUAGACAGAAGAUUUAUUUACAAGCUACUGUGAUGCUGCAGUGUUACAUUUCUGUGCUACAUGGUUCAAAAGGUCUCUCCGAACACCAGGUGAUAAGGCAGGAAUUAGAAUGAUGUAAUUUAAGUCAUUUAUUUUUAAAAAAUCUAACAGGAAGGAAACUGUUCUUUUGGGGCCAAAUUACUAGGUCUUUGAAGUAAAUUCCUUUAUUGGAACCACAUUUUCACCCUGCUACGACAACGUCCAUUGUUUGUAAAAGUCUCUUAGAAAGUAUUUUCAGAUUCAGGAUGUGCAACUGAGUUAAUAUUCUGGUUUAUAGGGGACCUGUUAUUUUUCAGCUGCAUGAAUACAUCACUAGACUUUUAGACUUCUUUUUCAGGAAGAGAAAUGCUUCAUUUUGUCAACAGAUUGUGAUAUAUUCACAUUUCUCCUUUGGUUUUCAUUCCUUGUAAGCAUAUACAAAGAAUUCACCCACUAGCAUCUUCACUGUCAGAUAACAGCUCUUCAGCAAUCUAAGGAUGGAAACAGAUGUUACCUUUUAUCACCUUUGUGCUGCCAUAAAAGCUUUUAUGGCAACACAAAGUGAAAGCAAAUAAACAUAUAUACCCUUUGCUGUGCCACAAAUUGGUCAUGGCAAAAGAUUGUAAUAACUUGUGUCACUUUAUUGCAGCAGAAGGGUAGUUGUUUUAUGUCAGGAGAGCAUGGGCAGCCAGGACCUUUCCUCACUCUCCAGCCAUCCCAGGUAGAUGCUCUUGGGGCCUGAGGGCCUUGGUCCUCCAUGCCAUAGGAAUUCCCUGCACCGCCUGGCUUCCCCGCUUCCAGAGACGCGCCCUUGGGAUCUCUGGACACUGGGAAAGUCGGGGUUCUCCACUUCCAGAGACAUGCUCCAACCAGGCAGUAAUUUUAUCACAGAAAUCUAAAUACAAAACCAUCACCUGGGAGGUGAUACAUGCCGUAGUAAAGAAUCUGGUGUUUUCUUUUCUUUUGUUGCGUAGCUGUUGCAUGGCUUAUACCUGCUGUAGUGAAUUUAAUAUCUGUGCUAAAUUUUGAUCAGUUAUUCUGGUGAAAACUCGGUCUUUUAUUGUUGAAUAUUUUACCAUUAAGAAGAGUGGACUUUCAUACUUAUGUAUUGUAGUUUGCCAAUAUUUCUGGUAGAGAAGUUGAUAUAUGAAAGUUCAGUUUCAGUGACAUCAUGUCUUCCCAUUCACAUAGCAGCACUACCAAAGCACUUUACAGCUAUAUUGGAGUCACCUGGCUUUUUCCAACUGUGGUAGAAUUAAGUAAAAUCCUCACACAUACUUAGUGGGUUGAGUUUGGUGAUAAUGCUGUGCAUCACCUGACAAAGGCAUCUAAUGGAAGAUAUUUCCAUAUGGUGACACUCAUUUUAUCUAAGGGUACAGGGAUUACCCACUCUAUCCAUCUCUUCUGUUACUACAUGGCAUCUUCAACAUUCAUCUAAGGAUACUAUAAGGCAAAAUAAAAAUGAUUGGAAGGGACUGGAGACAGUUUAGUGGAUAGAGCAUUAGACUGGAGCAAGAGAAACCUACAAAUCAGAAUUCCUAUGCCACCGGAGAUGAGCUGCUUAAUCAACUGUCUGUCAAAAGUGAAUAAUACAUCCUUGUCUCACAGGGGAGUUGCGAGGCUAAUUCAGUCAUGACCGUGAGGUGUUGAGAUAUUGCUAUAAAGAACACUACAUAGCUAAGACUAGUUUGUUUACAUGUGCUCAUCUGUGAACUAAUUAGAAUGUAUUGGAGCAGACUUGAUUAACCAAAUCUGUUCUGCGUUCUAAUUACAAUGCUCCAGGGUUGCCUCACUGUCAUGUGUAUUAAGCCCCCAUGAGUUUAAAAUGGCUGAGGGGAUGCUUUAUCUAAAUAGCAUCGAAUGAGCUUUAGAUAAAGCAUCCUGCAGCCAUUUAAAAAUGUGCAGGGGCUUAAUACACACGAUGGUGAGCAGUUUUAAUUAGAGUGGCUGUCCAGCAACUGGUUUAAUUAAAAUGCCUCCCCACUCCUAUCCCUGAGCAUGUGUGUAGACAGCCCCAGGAGAUCUCAAACAAGCCUAUACUGCACAUGCUCCCUGAUAUUACCUGAGCUCCAAGUUUAAAACUUUGUACGUUUACACUAUAUGGCAGUCACAGGGGUGUGGCUGCAGUGUAGACAUGCCCUAGGAUUCAAUAAUUCACACUAGAAUAUUGGCUCUUUACUUAUGGCAUCUAUGAAAAUCUCUCUCUUAUAGCAUAGAACAAAGCAGAAGAAUAACUCUAAUCAUAAAAGGAGAUAAAGUACUGAAGAAAAAUUCAAGAGAAUCAUGUCUUCAACCUAAGCAAAAACAUCUGAAAAAUACCUUGAACACAUUAAAAUAAAUGGAUUACUUGAGCAAACAGACUGCUGUGGUACUUGCUCCAUUCAGCUUCACUGCAAUGAAGCUGAUGGGUAGGAAAGAUAUAGAAAACAAUUAGCCAUAUGUAUUGUCUGCUCUGAAACUGGCUGUAUCUAACAGAAGUUAACAAGCAUAUUUUCAAACACAGGAGACUACUAACUAUGAACAUUUAUCUUUUUAAAAUAUUAUAUAAAAAUACUAUUACUUUCUGCAUGGAUAACUGUAGGUUAAAGAUGAAAGGCUGUGCUGCAGAGGGAGCAUAGUGUUCCAGCCCCUGAUGAGGAGGUAGGGUAGGCAGCUUUCAGUCUCGUAGCAAUAAUAGGAAAUAUUGGAAGGCCCUACAGUAAUGCAAAAGCCCCUGUCUUUGUCUUACAUCACUGGUGUGAAACUUUUAUCAUUUGUUUGAAUGAUGUAUUUGAAUUGCUUCCAUUGCUACUAUUUGCUGUCUCCACAGGAGUCAACAGCAUGGUUCCCAUGGUGCUGUGUACUUUCUUAAAAGACACUGCACACAUACAGUACCACAUGUUUCUGGGGUUGCUAUGGUAAUGAAAGUACUUGUCUUCUACAAAACUGUAGAGUGAAAAAUAGGGACAUAAAGCAUGAGGCUAAGCCACAGGAGUGUGAAUAAUGAGGGGGUCAGCUUAUUUCUGAAGAUGUAUUUGGCUUGGUUUUUCUCCUCUUUAAAGAUAUACAGGCAUUUGUGAACUCAUUUUUUCAUUAGAUUUUGCUUUUUUUUUUUUACUUUAAACAUACAUGGGACCAUCACCUGGUAUUGGGGAAAUAUGCCCAAAACCAAAACUGGGUAGUAUAGAGAGGGCUUUUGCUAGUUUUUGCGAAGUUUUGCACAUUCAGUUUUUGCUGAAAGUGAAAAAUGAAAUUAGUAACAGUAGUAGGCAAUCAUCAAUCCUUCUAUCAUGGUAUAUGUGUGAGAGGUCACCAAGACCUUUGAUACAUACACCUAGGCAGGAGUAUGGAAGAGUAAAGGUUGCCCAGAUCUUUCAUCCCCCUUUAGACCACUGAGACAGACUGAGUCUGGAUGUUUGAUGCCUCUGUGGCUGUAGUUAUAUGCACAUCUAGGAAUUAAACCCUGGUUUCCCACAUGGCAGACAAGGAAUCUAUCACUCAUCCACAACAGAAAGUAAAUCAGUAUUAUACCAGAGCCAAUAUAACAUGGUAUUUUCCAUUAUAUUAUAGUGUUCAGUUUAUUGAAUAUUUACCCCAUGUGACUACCUGCCACUGCCCCCUUCUCCAGACAUGAUGCAGGUCUCUCAGUCCUUGUAUAGAGUUCUUUUACUUCCAGUUUCCCCGUCUUACUCAACUGCUACCCCUGGAUGCCCUGUCAGUGGAGAAGAUGACUUGCUGCCUGGCUGUAGUGCUUCUCACUGCUGGGACCUCUCCUGCUACAAGGUUCUUAUAGUACUUCUUCCCAUCUGCAAUGUGUGCAGGGGCCAGUAAGGUUUUUGCAGCCAGGAGCUGCUUUAUCAGAGCUUAGCUUCUAACCCAGCUUGCACAACCACUUCUGGAGUAGGAGCCAUGGUUACUGCUUCUCCCUGCCUGGCAGUGCUGCUGCCACUCUUCCCUGUCACUUGGCUGCUGUACAGGUGAAACUCCCCUGUCAAAAUGCCACUGAUACCCCCUGGAUCUGAGCUGCAUUCAGCCUGCAGGCCUUAGAUUGCUGAGGGGAUCUAAUUGGGCAAUAGCAGGUGAAUUCUUUGUUUAUGCUUACAAGGAAUGAAAACCAAAGGUGAAAUAACUGUGGGCAACUUCUCCUGGCCAUAAGGAAAAAAAGAGAACAUGGAGUAAAUAUGAAUAUGAAUGAUUUACUAGGGCAUCUUCUGGGCUCUCCACCAAAGGAUACUAUAUCCACCUGUAACUUUAUUCAUAUAUCUACAUUGUAUUUAUUAGUCAAUCAUGGAAUCAUAUAUUUCUGUAUUAUACUAAGGAGUAUUAUAGUUACCCCUUACUCAAGAUUCCCAAUUCUUUUUAUGUUUUCAAAUAUGUCUCUGUUACAAGCUGAUCCAGAAGGGAUUCUCCUCUGGCUGGAAGGGUCUGUACCUUCUGGAACAUAAAUUGCUUUAGAGUUAAUGUUGGAAACCAUUAAAUAUUGUCUUUUCAUUGUAUUUAUCAAUCAA